rnacentral:lncRNA from 1 species
CACCAGCUCUUUUGAGCUUGCGCAACACCCAUGACCUCCUGACCUGGCAGGUGAGGCUGGAUGCAGAAGCUCCUUUGACAAUAAGGAGAGUUAGGGACUUAGGUUCCAGGUGUGAUCAUCAUCUUUAACUAAGAGCAGGAACAACAUGGCCUCAGUCAAGUCACCUAACUCUCUAGGUUCUCGGCCUUAAAAUGAGGGCCAACAAUUAUGGGUGUUCUCUAAGGUUCCUCUAGCUGUAAAGUUCUAGAAUUCCAGGUGAUAAGAAGCUAAUGUUCAUGAACCUUAAACUAGUCCAGGUUAGUUGAUGUGUGUCUCUGCCAUGUCGGUCACUGCCCUGGGGUUAAGCGGUAAGAUACUAUCCUUAGGGUUCUCUUUGUUUGGUAUUCUUACUCAUCCUCUCCCAUCACCAUUCUUACACUUUGGGCCCCCCUCUCCCCAGCCAAUACUGUCCUUUUGACUGAGAAGAUUUCUCUCCCCUUUUUAUUUGGUUUUCCAGGAAGUGAGUAGCUGCAGAGUCAGCUCCGUCAACCAUUUUUCCUCCCAUUCCAGAUUCAGUGUUUUCCUGCAGCAGUGGGCCUGCAAAAGGGUUCCAAACAUGGUGUGGGGGCUGGGAGACAUCCAAAGACACCGCAGACAGGCUAUGUGGCCGGCUUGUGCUACACAACCAGGCCUGAGACGGGCCUUGGCCGGCGUUUUGCUAGAGGUGGAGCGCACCGAAGAAACCCAAGUUCGCACCGGUUGGAGGAGGAGCCAAACAGGAGAGUAAGGGGGAGAAUCUAGUUUUCAGUCACUUCAGUCCUAAGUUCUCCCCGAGACUGCCAGAAGAGAUGCUAAUGAAAGACGAAUUGUAUGGCCAGAGUGUUUUCUUCGGACUUCUGCCCAGGGAACUGGAUAGGAAGCCCAGAAACGAGGUCACCAGCCCCAUCCAAUGGCAACUGGGC